GUUUUAAUAGUUUAAAGUAGAAAAAAUUUAGGUUUUGUAAAUCUAAGAUAGUUAGAAAUUUUAAAACU
rnacentral:tRNA from 1 species